GGGUCAGUAGGUUGGUCGUGCCACCGGUACGUACUGGUCUCACUGAUUCCUCCUUCCUGAAGAACCGUAAUGCCAUUAAUUUGGUGUUGCGGGGAAACAGGACUGUUACUUUGAAAAAAUUAGAGUGUUUAAAGCAAGCUAGUGCUUGAAUACAUUAGCAUGGAAUAAUGAAAUAGGACGAUCGAUCCUAUUUUGUUGGUUUCUAGGAUUGACGUA
rnacentral:rRNA from 1 species